AACCCGGAAAAACAGGGAAUCAGCUUUCCUUCUCCUGAGCUUUUUUAAGCGAAAACUUUUAUACCACUUUUGCUGAUAUUUCUCGCUUCGACCUUUCUUCUUUGUGUUUUUAAUUCAGUAUAAUCCACCAACAAUUAUACUCAUGCUGACCAAAGCUUUUUCAUUUCAAACUAUAAAAAAAGUAAAAUUAUUGUUAGGUAUUUAAAUUAUGAAAAUGUAAUAUUGUUUUAUGAAAAAAUUCGUUGGAAAAAAUAUAAAUAAGGCAAAAAAUUAUAUUUGCUGAAUACAUAAACGGUGCUUUUGAAAGCUUGAAAUGCAUCUUAAAGAUUUUUGUGAAGCCUUUGCUUCUUAUGGACCACUUCACAUUAAUUUUGUUGCCAUAAACUUGUCUCUUUUAAGUAGAGUCUACUUUAAUAUGGUUCUUCUUAACUAUUAUGUAAAAAGAGAAAAAAAUAUUGAAAUUUACAAAAAAUCGGCGCUGUUAAUGCACCGAAAUAUUUUUAAAUGCAAAGAUAUAAAAAACUACAAAUUAAUUACAACUAGGCACAUAUGUUUGCUUAGAUUAUAUAAAUUACAACAAUGCUUUUUACACAUAAACGAAUUCAACUAGAAAUUAUUUAUUUAAAAGCGAGAAAACGUCUAAUGACAAGAAAAUUUUGCAAUCACUUGUUUU